rnacentral:rRNA from 1 species
GACGAACGCUGGCGGCGUGCUUAACACAUGCAAGUCGAACGGUAAGGCCCUUCGGGGUACACGAGUGGCGAACGGGUGAGUAACACGUGGGUGAUCUGCCCUGCACUUCGGGAUAAGCCUGGGAAACUGGGUCUAAUACCGGAUAGGACUCCUGGCUUCAUGGUUGGGGGUGGAAAGCUUUUGCGGUGUGGGAUGGGCCCGCGGCCUAUCAGCUUGUUGGUGGGGUAAUGGUCUACCAAGGCGACGACGGGUAGCCGGCCUGAGAGGGUGAACGGUAAAACUGGGACUGAGUGACGGCCCAGACUCCUACGGGAGGCAGCAGUGGGGAAUAUUGCACAAUGGGCGAAAGCCUGAUGCAGCGACGCCGCGUGAGGGAGGACGGCCUUCGGGUUGUAAACCUCUUUCAGCUAUGACGAAGCGCAAGUGACGGUAGUAGCAGAAGAAGGACCGGCCAACUACGUGCCAGCCGCCGCGGUAA